UACGAAGGGGGCUAGCGUUGCUCGGAAUCACUGGGCGUAAAGCGCACGUAGGCGGGUCGUUAAGUCAGGGGUGAAAUCCCGGAGCUCAACUCCGGAACUGCCUUUGAUACUGGCGACCUUGAGGCUGGAAGAGGUUAGUGGAAUUCCCAGUGUAGAGGUGAAAUUCGUAGAUAUUGGGAAGAACACCAGUGGCGAAGGCGGCUAACUGGUCCAGAUCUGACGCUGAGGUGCGAAAGCGUGGGGAGCAAACAGG
rnacentral:rRNA from 1 species